UUUAAAAUGUGCCAGUGUUUUUGAAUAGUUUUUUUCCAUAGUUUUUUUGUGAAAAAAACUAUUCAAAAACACUGGCACAUUU